GGGUGUCCCCUUCUUCCCUCACCUCUCCAAGUGCAUCCCUCCUGAAACUGCACGCUCAGCUUCUCUAGAUACACAGAGAGACCUUCCAAGAGUAGAGGAGGACUGGUCUUCAGUCAAAGGUAUACAAGUAGCUGUGCUCCCCGGAUAGAACCUCAAAACAAGCUCUUGGUGUAUAUUUUUAAAAAGAAGUGGCAUAGCAGAGAUUCUUCU
ensembl:misc_RNA 7SK 7SK RNA